rnacentral:lncRNA from 1 species
GCAGUUAGCUUGAGUCUCUCCCAGACCCAGCCAUUCAUCCACAUCAAAUAAAGACAGUCCAGGCCCCAGCUGGGCCUGCCCCGGGGCACCUCACAACACUCCUGGGAGAGGAAAUCCUGAGUCAACCUGGCUGGGAACCAACUGGAAACCAGGGACUUUAGUCAUGGCUGUCUGCUCUUGGGCGGGCCUUGCUGUGCUACCUGCUUCAUCUGAAGUACCGGUGACAAGUCUUCCACCUCCAGGUGUCUUUCUGUGAAAACGUUUCAUUGCGAGUAGCUAAAAGAAGGCAAGGUAAAUGGCUGCUUUGUCUCUGGGUCUCACUCUGAGGUAGCUCCAAAGCCUUGCACAGUGGGUUGUUUGCAGAAUUCUGUGGCUGACUUGUGGUUGUACAUAACAGGGGGAGCAAGCAACCUGGAAGUAGAUACAGUUGUUCCUUUUUUUGUGACCUUCAGAAAGAUUCCCUUAAAGAAGACUUUCCUGUCAUCCUUGUUCACAAUGCCCACAGGAUGCUAAGUGCUAAAGAAAUGUUUUGUGGCCUAGGCCUUACAUUCUAGGCUGGAGUUUCCUUUUUUGUUUAUUUUGGUAAAAUUUACAUAACAUAAAAUGUAGCAUUUUAACCAUUUUUAAGUAUAUGAUUUGGUGGCAUUAAGAGCAUUCACACUGUUGUGCCAUCCUCACCACUGACCAUCUCCAGAACUUUUUCAUCAGCCCAAACUGAAACUCUUCACCCAUUAAACAAUAACUGUCCAUUUCCCCUCCACCAACCCCCAGCACCCAGCAUUCUACUUUCUGUCUCCAUGAGUCUGACUACUCCAGGUGCAUCACAUAAGUGGAAACAUAUUUGUCCUUUUGUGGGAAUGGCCUAUUUCAUGUUAGCAUAAUGUCUUUAGGGUUCAUCCAUGUAGUGGUAUGUGUCAGCAUUUCCUUCCUUUUAAAGGCUGAAUAAUAUUCCGCUGUAUGGAUAUACCACAUUUUGAUGGCUUAAUCAUCUGUCAAUGGAUGUGCUGUUUCCAGCUUUUGGCCCUUGUGAAGAGUACUGCGAUGAACAUUGGCAUAGGGAUAUCCAUUUGAGUCCGGCACUUACUUUUUAAAGCCAUCAUGAUGCCCAUAAUGGGAGGAAGCUGAGUGUAGUGGGAAGAGUUUGGUUUUGGACGUAGGGAGUCCUGGGUUCAAAAUUGCAGUCCUGCCAGGUCCUCCUGUCUAUCUGUGGGGAGAGUGUUUAUCUCUGAACACUUUACUUUUGAGACUAUGAAAAAGGGAUAAUAUCCACCUUUCAGUAAUAUGGCGAAGAUUUCAUUACACCAUUUUGGGAUGAGUCCAGGUUUUGUGGGGCCUAAAGAUUAUACCUUUUGGGAGGCCUUCUUUAAGAAAAGAAAUGCAGGCCAGAUGUGGUGGCUCACACCUGUAAUCCCAGCACUUUGGGAGGCCAAGGCAGGUGGAUCAUUUGAGGUCAGGAAUUCGAGACUAGCCUGGCCAACAUGGUGAAUCCCCAUCUCUACAAAAAAUACAAAAAUUAGUCAGGCAUGGUGGCACGUGCCUAUUGUCCCAGCUACUUGGGAGGCUGAGGCAGGAGAACUACUCGAACCCAGGAGCAGAGGUUGAAGUGAGCCAAGAUUGCACCACUGCACUCCAGCCUGGGCAACAGAGCGAGAUCUCUCAAAAAAAAAAAAAAGAAAUGCAAAACUGGAAAUAAAUCAUGUGUGAAAGUGUAUAUUUAUUUCAAAUCAGGGGGGAAAACCCAUGACAACAGAUUACUGAAAGCUUGAAAAUUCCAGUCUCUUUGUUUCUUAACAUCACCUCAGGCACUUCACCAGAAAUGCUUUCUAAAAAACGCUUCCCGAUGGUAAUCUGGCUUCCAUCCCACCUGGAGCCACCCGCAGCUCCCAGAUACUCCCAGGCACCUGUGCACACUGGAGCCUAGGUUGAAGCUCUCUCAGUUUCCUGUAAACCCUCCUUUGGUUUCACUUGGGAUGCAUGUUUAUUGUUGCUCAUUUUAGUGAGAACUUACCAAGUGCCCGGCAUCAUUCAAUAUUGUAUUAGGGUAGCCCUAUUUUGUUCUCACAAGGCCCCAAUAAAAUGGGGACUAUUCUAUUUUCAUUUACCAGAUAAGGAAACUGAGGCAUGGAAAAGUUACACAACUUUCCCUCACUGCUCAGAAAACAGGGCCCUGGAGACAGAUCGCUACCCUCCCACCUGAGUUCAGAAUCACCCUGCAAACCGCCUCCUGGUAGAUAAGAGAUGUACAAAGAAUCAUCAAAAAGAUGCCAACAAGAAGUGAAAUUCCACGAGGAACUUGAAAAAUAUGUUCGCCUGUCUAUCUCAGGGCUCUGGUUCCAGCUCUAGCUCUGUGUCUAGUGAUUUCCUUUUGGGUUUGUUUGUUGCUUAUCCUGUAGAUCAUUGGCUGCCAAAAAUGAGACAAAGAUGUGGUCCUGGAUUGUACCAUCUUUCUCUGCUUUAAAGUCAGUACAAAUCACUUAAAAACAAAAUGAAACAAAACAUGUUGCCUGGCCCUUCAGGGGAAGCUGAGCCUGCUGGUCAGGAGCCAGGGCCUGGCAUUGAGUCCAGGAGAGCACGACUGUGGGCAUUUCCUGUGGUCGGGAGAUGACUCAGGAUGAACUCCGGCCUCUGAGCCACAGGCAGCCCCGGCACUUCACAGUUACCACCCACACCCCACCCUACUCUGGAGCCUGGCAGUCACACUGCCAGCUACAGGGAGCCUGUCCUGUGAGUUAGGCCUGCUCCAGAGGCCCAUGCAGUCAGGGUUCAGAAAUUAUAUUGAAGUCUAAAAGAAUUGAACUCUUUCUGUCUUUUAGUUUGUGGAAUAAAUCCAAAGACGAGAUUUUCCAGAAAAAUACCAUUGGAUGUGAAUUUAUUCUGAAUUGACUCUGAGAACUAGACUCGUUAGGCCCCUUUUUCCUAUCUGUGAAACAAAUAGCAAGACGUCACAUGAACAAACACUGAUUGCCGAGUGGUUCACUCAUUCACAGCUUGCAGAGCUGCUGAGCCUUCUUUUUUCAUUUACUCAUUUAUUGCUUCAGCAGCCGCCUGUGGAGACCCCACAAUGGACCAGGCACUGUUCUGAGAGCACAGUGUUGAUUAAAACCGACAGGGUCUCUGCCUCAUGGAGCUUACAUUCCAGUGGGAGAGACAGACAAGAAACACACGAACAAAUAAAGAUGUCAGAUGGUAACAAAUGCUGAGAAAAAUAAAGGAUGGCAAGGGGUCAGAGAGUGGCCAAGGUGGGGUGGCCAGCAAAGCCUCUCUGCU